rnacentral:rRNA from 1 species
AUUCCCUAGUAACGGCGAGUGAAGCGGGAACAGCUCAAAUUUGAAAUCUGGCCCUUGGGUCCGAGUUGUAAUUUGCAGAGGAUGCUUUUGGUGCGGUGCCUUCCGAGUUCCCUGGAACGGGACGCCUUAGAGGGUGAGAGCCCCGUACGGUUGGACACCAAGCCUAUGUAAAGCUCCUUCGACGAGUCGAGUAGUUUGGGAAUGCUGCUCAAAAUGGGAGGUAUAUUUCUUCUAAAGCUAAAUAUUGGCCAGAGACCGAUAGCGCACAAGUAGAGUGAUCGAAAGAUGAAAAGCACUUUGAAAAGAGGGUUAAAUAGCACGUGAAAUUGUUGAAAGGGAAGGAUUUAUGACCAGACUUUUUCUAGGGGGAUCAUCCGGUGUUCUCACCGGUGCACUUCCCCUAGUUGAGGCCAGCAUCGGUUUCUGUCGGGGGAUAAAAGCUUUAGGAAUGUGGCUCCCUCCGGGGAGUGUUAUAGCCUGUUGCAUAAUACCCUGACGGGGACCGAGGUUCGCGCAUUGCAAGGAUGCUGGCGUAAUGGUUAUUAAUCACCCGUCUUGAAACACGGACCAAGGAGUCGAACAUUUGUGCGAGUGUUUGGGUGUUAAACCCUCACGCGUAAUGAAAGUGAACGGAGGUGAGAGCCUUUCGGGGUGCAUCAUCGACCGAUCCUGAUGUCUUCGGAUGGAUUUGAGUAAGAGCAUUAAUGUUCGGACCCGAAAGAUGGUGAACUAUGCGUGGAUAGGGUGAAGCCAGAGGAAACUCUGGUGGAGGCUCGCAGCGGUUCUGACGUGCAAAUCGAUCGUCAAAUCUGCGCAUGGGGGCGAAAGACUAAUCGAACCAUCUAGU